rnacentral:rRNA from 1 species
GAUGAACGCUGGCGGCGUGCCUAAUACAUGCAAGUCGAGCGAACAGAUGAGGAGCUUGCUCCUCUGACGUUAGCGGCGGACGGGUGAGUAACACGUGGAUAACCUACCUAUAAGACUGGGAUAACUUCGGGAAACCGUAGCUAAUACCGCAUAAUAUAUUGAACCGCAUGGUUCAAUAGUGAAAGACGGUUUUGCUGUCACUUAUAGAUGGCUCCGCGCCGCAUGAGCUAGUUGGUAAGGUAACGGCUUACCAAGGCAACGAUGCGUAGCCGACCGGAGAGGGGGAUCGGCCAACCUGGAACUGAGACACGGUCAAGACUCCUACGGGAGGCAGCAGAAGGGAACUUUCCGCAAUGGGCGAAAGCCUAACGGAGCAACGCCGCGGGGGUGAUGAAGGUCUUGGGAUCGUAAACCUCUGUUAAUAGGGAGAAACAAUGGGGGAGGUAACUAUGCACGCCGUGACGGUACCUAAUCAGAAAGCCACGGCUAACUACGUG